GUCUCUGACUGACUGGGAGGUAAAGGUUGUCUCUGACUGACUGGGAGGUAAAGGUUGUCUCUGACUGACUGGGAGGUAAAGGUUGUCUCUGACUGACUGGGAGGUAAAGGUUGUCUCUCUGAC